UACGUAGGGGGCUAGCGUUGUCCGGAAUCAUUGGGCGUAAAGAGCGUGUAGGCGGUCCGGUAAGUCCGUUGUGAAAGUCAGGGGCUCAACCCUUGAAUGCCGGCGGAUACUGUCGGGCUAGAGUCCGGAAGAGGCGAGUGGAAUUCCUGGUGUAGCGGUGGAAUGCGCAGAUAUCAGGAGGAACACCAAUAGCGAAGGCAGCUCGGCUGGGACGGUACUGACGCUGAGGCGCGAAAGCGUGGGUAGCAAACGGG
rnacentral:rRNA from 1 species